rnacentral:rRNA from 1 species
UACGGGGGGAGCAAGCGUUGUUCGGAUUUACUGGGCGUAAAGAGCGCGUAGGCGGUCAGCACAAGUCAGUUGUGAAAUCUCCGGGCUUAACUCGGAAAGGUCAACUGAUACUGUGCGACUAGAGUGCAGAAGGGGCAACUGGAAUUCUCGGUGUAGCGGUGAAAUGCGUAGAUAUCGAGAGGAACACCUGCGGCGAAGGCGGGUUGCUGGGCUGACACUGACGCUGAUGCGCGAAAGCGUGGGGAGCAAACAGG